GCAUUUGCUCAAAAAUUGAAUAAAAUAUUAUAUAAUUAUAUGCUAAACAAAACUGAUUUAUGCCACUAUAAGAAAAUGGUAAAUUGCACGGCAAGUCAAGAUCAAACUUCGCUUGACAAACACAACUCAUAAUUCCAGCUAUUGAAAAGAUAGAUCCCCGGCUUAAUUUAAAAGAAACAAAACUACAAGAAAUCCAUCGCUUGACAAACUACCAAUUCCAAUAUAAUUUACAAAAGGA
rnacentral:misc_RNA from 1 species